rnacentral:rRNA from 1 species
UCGAGAGGCUUCCGCAAUGGGGGAAACCCUGACGGAGCGACGCCGCGUGAGGGAUGAAGGGUUUCGGCUCGUAAACCUCUUUCAGGUGGGAAGAAAGGUCUGAGGGUGAAUAAUUCUCAGGCUAUGACGGUACCGCCAGAAGAAGCUCCGGCUAACUCCGUGCCAGCAGCCGCGGUAAUACGGGGGGAGCAAGCGUUGUUCAGAUUCAUUGGGCGUAAAGGGCGCGUAGGCGGUUUGGCAAGUCUGACGUGAAAUGUACCGGUUCAACCGGGGCGCUGUGUCAGAAACUGCCUUACUUGAGGUCGAGGGAGGAGAGUGGAAUUCCUGGUGUAGCGGUGAAAUGCGUAGAUAUCAGGAGGAACACCCGUGGCGAAGGCGACUCUCUAUCUCGAUUCUGACGCUGAGGCGCGAAAGCUAGGGGAGCAAACGGGAUUAGAUACCCCGGUAGUCCUAGCCGUAAACGAUGGGCACUAGGUGUGGGAGGUAUCGACCCCUUCCGUGCCGCAGCUAACGCAUUAAGUGCCCCGCCUGGGGAGUACGGUCGCAAGAUUG